rnacentral:rRNA from 1 species
CCAGACUCCUACGGGAGGCAGCAGUGGGGAAUAUUGCACAAUGGGGGAAACCCUGAUGCAGCGACGCCGCGUGAAGGAAGAAGUAUCUCGGUAUGUAAACUUCUAUCAGCAGGGAAGAAAACAGACGGUACCUGACUAAGAAGCCCCGGCUAACUACGUGCCAGCAGCCGCGGUAAUACGUAGGGGGCAAGCGUUAUCCGGAUUUACUGGGUGUAAAGGGCGUGUAGCCGGGCCGGCAAGUCAGAUGUGAAAUCCCAAGGCUCAACCUUGGAACUGCAUUUGAAACUGUUGGUCUUGAGUAUCGGAGAGGCAGGCGGAAUUCCUAGUGUAGCGGUGAAAUGCGUAGAUAUUAGGAGGAACACCGGCGGCGAAGGCGGCCUGCUGGACCGUAACUGACGUUGAGGCUCGAAAGCGUGGGGAGCAAACAGGAUUAGAUACCCUCGUAAC